AUAAUACUCCCUCCGUUCCAAAAUUCUUGUCUUAGAAUUGUCUAGAUACAGAUGUAUCUAACACUAAAAUGUAACUAGAUACAUCCGUAUUUGGAAAAAUAUAAGACAAGAAUUUUGGGACCAAGGAAGUAUAAA
rfam:Triticum urartu cultivar G1812 contig730109, whole genome shotgun sequence.